GAUGAAGAACGCAGCGAAAUGCGAUAAGUAAUGUGAAUUGCAGAAUUCAGUGAAUCAUCGAAUCUUUGAACGCACAUUGCGCCCUCUGGUAUUCCGGGGGGCAUGCCUGUUCGAGCGUCAUUAUAACCACUCAAGCUCUCGCUUGGUAUUGGGGUUCGCGGUUCCGCGGCCCCUAAAAUCAGUGGCGGUGCCUGUCGGCUCUACGCGUAGUAAUACUCCUCGCGUCUGGGUCCGGUAGGUCUACUUGCCAGCAACCCCCAAUUUUUACCUCGGAUCAGGUAGGGAUACCCGCUGAACUUAAGCAUAUCAAUAAGCGGAGGA
rnacentral:misc_RNA from 1 species